rnacentral:tRNA from 1 species
CCGGUAGUAGCUCAGCAAGGUAGAGCAGCAGGCCUAAAACCUGUGGUCGUUGGUUCAAUUCCAACCUGCCGAG